GUAGGUGGCAAGCGUUGUCCGGAAUUAUUGGGCGUAAAGCGCGCGCAGGCGGUUCUUUAAGUCUGAUGUGAAAGCCCACGGCUCAACCGUGGAGGGUCAUUGGAAACUGGAGAACUUGAGUACAGAAGAGGAAAGCGGAAUUCCACGUGUAGCGGUGAAAUGCGUAGAGAUGUGGAGGAACACCAGUGGCGAAGGCGGCUUUCUGGUCUGCAACUGACGCUGAGGCGCGAAAGCGUGGGGAGCAAACAGGAUUAGAUACCCUGGUAGUCCACGCCGUAAACGAUGAGUGCUAAGUGUUAGGGGGGUUUCCGCCCCCCUUAGUGCUGCAGCUAACGCAUUAAGCACUCCGCCUGGGAGUACGGCCGCAAGGCUG
rnacentral:rRNA from 1 species